GUGGGGAAUUUUGGACAAUGGGGGCAACCCUGAUCCAGCCAUUCCGCGUGAGUGAAGAAGGCCUUCGGGUUGUAAAGCUCUUUCGUCAGGAACGAAACGGCGGGCUCUAACAUAGCCUGUUAAUGACGGUACCUGAAGAAGAAGCACCGGCUAACUACGUGCCAGCAGCCGCGGUAAUACGUAGGGUGCGAGCGUUAAUCGGAAUUACUGGGCGUAAAGCGUGCGCAGGCGGAUUGUUAAGCAAGACGUGAAAUCCCCGGGCUUAACCUGGGAAUGGCGUUUUGAACUGGCAGUCUAGAGUGCGUCAGAGGGGGGUGGAAUUCCACGUGUAGCAGUGAAAUGCGUAGAGAUGUGGAGGAACACCGAUGGCGAAGGCAGCCCCCUGGGAUGACACUGACGCUCAUGUACGAAAGCGUGGGUAGCAAACAGGAUUAGAAACCCCAGUAGUCC
rnacentral:rRNA from 1 species